rnacentral:lncRNA from 10 species
GAGGAAGGUGCUGUGACUAAAUGAAGGAAGGCUGAGGGGUUAAAAUCAUUGCUGGGUGAUUUCACCACUACUGCCCCAUAUUCAUACUCUCGGUAAAUGAAUGAGGAGAGCCCCAUGUGGGAUUACAAACUUGCUGGAAAUGGAUGAGAAACCUUCUGCUCUGCUGGAGUUUAUCUUGAGUGUGCCUUAAAAUUCCAUUUCAUGGAGAACUGUGCGUGGUUGAAUUUUGAUUGAUUACUCAAUUAACUGAUGUAUUGGUAGAGUGAUUAAGAAAGAAGACUUUGGGAUCAGACCAACCUGGUUUUGAAUUCAAGCUCAGCAACUUACUAGGUAAGGAGGAGAAAAGAAAGAAGGAAAAAUUGGAAAGAUAAAUGGGGUCUUUCCAGUGAAGCCUCCAGGCCUCCAGACUGGAACUUAUACCACUGAUUCUUCUGAAUCUUAGGCCUUUGGACUUGGACUGGAACUAAACCAUCAGCUCUUCUUGUUCUACCACUUGCAGACUGUAUGUCUUGGGACAUGUCAGCCUCUGUAAUCACGCUCAAUUUUCCUACAUAAUUAAGAGUUUGGAAUUCGGGCAAUAUCAAGAACCACAUCUGUCCUGAAAUCAAUUAUCUCUGUUUGAAACACAAGAAAUAAGAAGACCAUUUUGAGAAGAACAGAGAGUAGCCUUAAGAAAAUCCCUGUCGCAAGCACUCUGGGAUUUGGACUCAAAUGCUAAUUAUACAGAACCACUUGGGUGCCCAGCUGCUGUCCAUUCUCUACACUUAUCCCACCUGAUGGAAGGCUGUUAAGAAAAACAUCACUGCAAUGCCUAAUAAACAGACAUGGGUCCCAGACCCAAUAAGAGUGAAACCAUCCCCCUAUUUAAAUGAAAUUAUGGCUGAUGAGAAAGACAAAUUAAUUUCUCUGUCCCUAGUAUUACACAAAACUUUGGAUGCUGCCAUUGUUACAAUUUUAUUUUCCCCAGGAGCUCAGAGUCCCACCUUCAUUCUUUUUGUUUAAUGCUUAAGCUUGCCUGUCCACCUAUGGAAGACUAGAAUGAGCAAAGACCAUGUAUUCAAUGAUCUGUAAAUCUAACAGGAAACAAUAUAAUAAAUAUAUUGUGUUUGCUAACCAAAUCUGUGAAUGAUUAGAUCGACUGGUUAAUGAUUAGAUGGAUUAACACAUCAUUUCUAUUUUCUCUCUCCUCCCCUACUUCUUGUUUUAAUGAUACCUUCCAAGUUUUAUUUCUCCAAGCCUAACCCCUUACAUAAUACAAGAGGACAACAGUUUGCAAAAUAAAUAUCUGUUGGCCCUAACUGGUAAAUACUGAAAUAGAUUUCAAGUAAUGUGAGUGUUUUUGAAACCACCUAAAUCUGUAAGCCACCCUGCAAGGAACAAGGGUAGCAAAGUGAAUAAGCCAGACAUGUAAAAAUAAAGAUGACAAAAUGGAAGGCAAUUAAUGCCUGUAAUGGAGGUGGGGAAGGGGGGAAUGACAAGUUAAUAAGAAAUUUAUUUUUAAAUGCUAUCAUCUGCCAUAAAAUAUCCAUGCUUAUUUUAGAAAAUAUGUAAAAUGUUUAAGAAUUAAACAUCUUUAAAAAAAUCACAUGAACUCAUCACCCUGCAACAAAACACACACAGAUGAGUGCACACACUUAAACACACAUUAAUUUUCAAUUAGUAUAUAAAGUUAAUAUCCUGCUAAGUACAAGAUACUAUAUCAUGAGCACUUUGUCUC